rnacentral:rRNA from 1 species
ACGCUCGACACCUACGGAAGGCAGCAGUAGGGAAUCUUCCACAAUGGACGCAAGUCUGAUGGAGCAACGCCGCGUGAGUGAAGAAGGUCUUCGGAUCGUAAAACUCUGUUGUUAGAGAAGAACACGAGUGAGAGUAACUGUUCAUUCGAUGACGGUAUCUAACCAGCAAGUCACGGCUAACUACGUGCCGGCAGCCGCGGUAAUCUGAGCGGGCUGGCAAGGC